UCGUAUUCGGAACCGCGACGCACGGAUUUCCGCGACUCGAUGUGCACGACGUUUACACCUAGGUCCUUCGACCGAUAGAAUUCUAUUUCAGCACGGGAGAUUCGUUUCGUCAACGUCAAGGGAGGGAUUGGCAUAAGACCUGCAGCACCCGCGCCAAGCCGCCGACUUGGUUUUUCAACGAAAAGACGACGGAAUUUUUGUUGUCGCUGUUCGGCCGACGCUCGACCAUGGGGAUCUGAACGAACGAAAGAACACGUUCAUCCAUUACUCCCGUUCAUCUUACAGUUGACGUUUACUUUUUUAACUUUUCUUCAAAACAACAUUAUGCUAUGGAACGUUUGCACCGCACACUAUGCACUCGCUAGACGAAGAAAUUCAGUUAGCGACACCAGCGUGGGACCUUGGACACAGAUUCGAGGUAAA